AAUGAAGCCAUUAGCAUUGUCAGCCUCAGUGGUGACACUGUAGUUUGGAUCACCGUGUAGACACUUUACAGUAAGGGGACUGCCACAUAGACACUUCCGAUGAAAGAGGAUGCACUAGAAGUCAUCAUGUGAUCUGUGUAAGGGAUAACAACUGACAAGUUAUUGUUGGACAAAUUUAAAUAUGCCAAAAAUCACAUUGAAG
rnacentral:misc_RNA from 1 species